rnacentral:lncRNA from 1 species
CCUAGUAUAUACUGUAGCCGGCAUACAUCCUAGUAGUACCCUACUCCGUACACUACAUAUGUUUCUUCCGAAAAAAGACCAGGACUCCGUAUUAUUCCGUACUCCAAACUGCACGCCUCUGUUGUCCAUGAGCAAUCCAUGUAGAUGCCGGCACUUCGCUUUCAAAGGACGCGUGUAUAUUUACCUCAAUUAGGAUCGUCUCAUAAAUGUACUGCCACACUUGCAAUGGUACAAACAAGCAAAUUCGGGGUACAGCAGAGAUCAAUAAGGUUAACUGACACUGACUAGUUUAGAGAACCAAUCAGCCGGAGGAGUUGGGCAAAUAUAGAGAUCUAAAAACGCCAAGACAUAAGUAGCCACCCCUCCAUCAUAGGCGAUCGCAGCCGGUGCUAUAAAGAGCAGGACAGAGUGGUUGGAACCUGGGUGGCGCAUGCAGGCGCAGCUACCAGCUCAAUAACUCUCCUUCCGGAUCGA